rnacentral:rRNA from 1 species
UGGGGAAUAUUGGACAAAGGGCGAAAGCCUGAUCCAGCCAUGCCGCGUGUGUGAAGAAGGCCUUUUGGUUGUAAAGCACUUUAAGUGGGGAGGAAAAGCUUAUGGUUAAUACCCAUAAGCCCUGACGUUACCCACAGAAUAAGCACCGGCUAACUCUGUGCCAGCAGCCGCGGUAAUACAGAGGGUGCAAGCGUUAAUCGGAAUUACUGGGCGUAAAGCGCGCGUAGGUGGUUAUUUAAGUCAGAUGUGAAAGCCCCGGGCUUAACCUGGGAACUGCAUCUGAUACUGGAUAACUAGAGUAGGUGAGAGGGGAGUAGAAUUCCAGGUGUAGCGGUGAAAUGCGUAGAGAUCUGGAGGAAUACCGAUGGCGAAGGCAGCUCCCUGGCAUCAUACUGACACUGAGGUGCGAAAGCGUGGGUAGCAAACAGGAUUAGAUACCCUGGUAGUCCACGCCGUAAACGAUGUCUACCAGUCGUUGGGUCUUUUAAAGACUUAGUGACGCAGUUAACGCAAUAAGUAGACCGCCUGGGGAGUACGGCCGCAAGGUUA